CCACGUAGGGGGCGAGCGUUGUCCGGAAUUACUGGGCGUAAAGGGCGUGUAGGCGGUCUAUUAAGUCAGGCGUGAAAACCCUGGGCUUAACCUGGGGACUGCGUUUGAAACUGGUAGGCUUGAGGGCAGGAGAGGAAAGUGGAAUUCCCGGUGUAGCGGUGAUAUGCGUAGAUAUCGGGAGGAACACCAGUGGCGAAGGCGGCUUUCUGGACUGCACCUGACGCUGAGGCGCGAAAGCCAGGGGAGCGAACGGGAUUAGAUACCCCGGUAGUCCUGGCCGUAAACGAUGGGUACUAGGUGUGGGAGGUAUCGACUCCUUCCGUGCCGGAGUUAACACAAUAAGUACCCCGCCUGGGGAGUGCGGCCGCAAGGCUGAA
rnacentral:rRNA from 1 species